UCCAUUGCCACCUACCCCUCUGAGACUGCGGGGCCCGGGGCCAGGGGACCAGGACCGACUGCAGAUGGACUCCCCAUCCCCAGAGUUCCUUCUCCGCCCCUGGAGCCACACAUGCACAGUCUCCACUCCCGAGGCGAAACUGGCGUCCUUCUACGCUCUGGUUAAGGGGAAAAUCUGCUUUUGUUGAGGAACCGCCCCUCUGAAUUGAUGAACAUGUCCUGGUGGAAUCAGUGGGCUGUAUUGCCAUUCCACAGGGAAGAUAAGAACUGAGGCCGCGUCCUGCGUGUGAUGAUGAAGCCAUCAGCGCGUUGCUGCUUGUUGAUGGAGGAGUUUAUGUUAGCCUGCCAGCCUUUGCGAUGGCUCCAGUCAGCACAGCUCCUGCUUUGCCAGCCGAGGGCACCCAGCCUCCACUCCCAGUGAUCCCAGUUUGUUCGGCCAUCUUGAAAAGCUGGAUGUCAAACCACAGCAAUGACAUUGUGACAACUGGGUUCACUAGGCCUGUGAUGCUGUGCCGUGAGCUCCCAGAGACUGAGAUGGCAUGCACGGGGCGUGCAAGGGUCUGCACCAGACUGAAAGAAGCAGCAGACACAAGCCCCCACCCCCAGCUGGUACCCACUGGCAAAUGAAAACUCAGCUUUCUCCAAGCAUCUUUUCUUGUGCUCUCUUCUUUGUUUGUUUUACCCUAUUCUGAUGUGUUGGUUUUUGUUUUAUAUAUUAUAUCAAUUGUCUUGUUACCCCUUAAAA